rnacentral:rRNA from 1 species
CCUACGGGGUGCAGCAGUGGGGAAUAUUGGACAAUGGGCGAAAGCCUGAUCCAGCCAUGCCGCGUGUGUGAAGAAGGCCUUCGGGUUGUAAAGCACUUUCAGUGGGGAAGAAAGCCUUGGGGCUAAUACCCUCGAGGAAGGACAUCACCCACAGAAGAAGCACCGGCUAACUCCGUGCCAGCAGCCGCGGUAAUACGGAGGGUGCGAGCGUUAAUCGGAAUUACUGGGCGUAAAGCGCGCGUAGGCGGUCUGAUAAGCCGGUUGUGAAAGCCCCGGGCUCAACCUGGGAACGGCAUCCGGAACUGUCAGGCUAGAGUGCAGGAGAGGAAGGUAGAAGUCCCGGUGUAGCGGUGAAAUGCGUAGAGAUCGGGAGGAAUACCAGUGGCGAAGGCGGCCUUCUGGACUGACACUGACGCUGAGGUGCGAAAGCGUGGGUAGCAAACAGGAUUAGAUACCCCUGUAGUC